rnacentral:rRNA from 1 species
AGUGAACGCUGGCGGUAGGCCUAACACAUGCAAGUCGAACGGCAGCACAGUAAGAGCUUGCUCUUACGGGUGGCGAGUGGCGGACGGGUGAGGAAUACAUCGGAAUCUACUUUUUCGUGGGGGAUAACGUAGGGAAACUGACGCUAAUACCGCAUACGACCUACGGGUUAAAGCAGGGGAUCUUCGGACCUUGCGCGAUUGAAUGAGCCGAUGUCGGAUUAGCUAGUUGGCGGGGUAAAGGCCCACCAAGGCGACGAUCCGUAGCUGGUCUGAGAGGAUGAUCAGCCACACUGGAACUGAGACACGGUCCAGACUCCUACGGGAGGCAGCAGUGGGGAAUAUUGGACAAUGGGCGCAAGCCUGAUCCAGCCAUACCGCGUGGGUGAAGAAGGCCUUCGGGUUGUAAAGCCCUUUUGUUGGGAAAGAAAAGCAGCAGGUUAAUACCCCGCUGUUCUGACGGUACCCAAAGAAUAAGCACCGGCUAACUUCGUG